rnacentral:rRNA from 1 species
UACGGAGGGGGCUAGCGUUGUUCGGAAUUACUGGGCGUAAAGCGCACGUAGGCGGCUUUGUAAGUUAGAGGUGAAAGCCCGGGGCUCAACUCCGGAAUUGCCUUUAAGACUGCAUCGCUAGAAUUGUGGAGAGGUAAGUGGAAUUCCGAGUGUAGAGGUGAAAUUCGUAGAUAUUCGGAAGGACACCAGUGGCGAAGGCGACUUACUGGACACAUAUUGACGCUGAGGUGCGAAAGCGUGGGGAGCAAACAGG